ensembl:lncRNA
UGAGGUGGUGUAAGAACAGCUAAUUGAGGUGGUGUAAGAGCAGCUGGAUGAGGUGGUGGAUGAGGUGGUGUAAGAACAGCUAGAUGAGGUGGUGUAAGAGCCCUCAUUUGGUAGUGGUCCAGGGGGGAGUCAUGAGGUCUGGAUCAAGGACAUCCUUAUUGAUCAUGAAUAUUAAAUACAAAAUUAACAUUCCUGUUUAUAAAUAUAAAUGUGAUAUAAAUGUACAUACAGAUGUUGACGUGACUAUAAAGCCGCACCAACCGCAGCAUGUCAUUGGUAAGGUGGAAGAUCGUUUGCUCACGCUAUCUAAGCUCCAACAACCAACCUGGUCAGAAAGAGAGACUAGUAUUCAAUAUAAUUGAUGCAAAGCCAACCACAAAAGCAGUUCCUGGAUAGUGGUCACCAAAGAGUGACACACAAUAAUGAACUACACUUCACUUGGUGUUAAUCUCGCCCUGGUCUCCCUCUUCCUCCUCUCAACAUGUGGUGAUUUAAUCAAACCCACUGCAAAGCCACAGUGCUCCGCUGGUAUGAAUAGCACUAGUCAUUCCUGGCUACACACACAGUAC